rnacentral:lncRNA from 1 species
UGCACGUCCGCGGGCAGCUCCGGAGAGCUCCCUCCCUCGGCGGUCCCCGAGUUCAGUCCGGAGCCAGGCCCCGCCACCCGUGGGCCUCACGGUGUUCCUCCUCCUGGCUAUCUAUGCCUUCUCCGCUGCCACAGCUCUGGCCCAAGACUCCUCCUGGGUGAUUCUCCUUCUCUUGGCUUCUGGAGUUUCAGCUCCCUCAAGAUGGCAAAGUGGCUGCAGUGGCUCCACCUUCACUCAGAGGAUUUCCAGGACAGUCAGCUGCAGUUCUAGGUUUUGCAGUGAUUCAGGCCAUUUUCUGUGCCGGUUCCUGGUACAAGAAGAUGUUAUGCUGAAAUUGACCCCAUCCUGAUUUAUGGGUCCCAUCUUUGAGGUGAGGAGGCAGUGUCGAGAUCAGUCUGAGUGAGUCAGGCAUUAGCCCUGAGCUGGAGGCGUCAGGUCCUCCCAGCCAGCGUGUCACCCAUGAUGUCAUGGGGGAGGCCAAGCCACCACAGUGCCCACUGCCGCCCAGAUGCAGCCCAGCAGGGAGGGCAGUGCCACAGUCUCUCUGGAGUCCUCACCUCAGCCCACUGGGGUUCUGUCUAAAGCUUGGGUUUUAACUAAUUUAGCACAGAAAUUUUUAAAAAUUUUAUUUUAUUUAAAGAAAGAAAAUUUAAAAAAACAAAAUAGAA